rnacentral:lncRNA from 1 species
UAUUCUGUCUACUGCUGUAUCAGUGCUUGGCACAUACACUCUUCUUUCUGGGAGGAAACUAGACUGCUUUAGAAAUCACUGCAGGAAUCACAGAGUAAAAUGGAGAAGAAACCAGGGAUGUGUCAUAACACAGUAGUCUGAAAAAGGGCCAGGUAGAAGAGUGGGAAGGACUAUGCCUCUGGCAAGUGCAAGUUCAUAAAUCCCAGUUUCUUCAAGUUACGAGGCACAUCUGCAUCCCCAGAUGAUGGCUACUGGUCAGAACACUGAACUCAUACCAAAAGCUGCUGUUGUUGACAGUUUAAUGUCUAUGGAUCUGACUCGGAGAGAAAUGUGCCACUUACUGAAUCACCAACACCAUAUCUUUGGUGUUGAGGUGGGGCACGCUUACUUUUUCAUCUGAAGAUUGACACAGCCCACCAAGAACAAUUUGAAAGAGACAGGAUUGCUGCUGAAAAGGCAUGACAUCAAGCCACACAAAUUGGAUGUUAAGACUAGAGAUUAACUUGUGAACUUGGCAGGAAUAGGUCGUAUGACGAGAGCUGAAACGUACAACUGGAUCUUGGUCAUGCCAUUCCUCAAAGGAGAUGAAGAAAUCCUGAAUUUUUAAUUUAUGCUUAAUAGCCAUGGCUUUGUCUCUACAGAGUGUUUGUGAUAUAUUUCUAAGCAUUGGUAAAUUAAUUCUUACUGCACCAACUUGGUGGAAAUCUGUUCCAUCAGAAAGAGUUAAUACAUCCAAAGAGAUAGAAACACAUUUAAGACUAACUUUCACAAGCUCCUGCUUAGCUAAAAAUGAAACUAGAAAACUUUAUUUUGAGUAUUUUACAUUUCUGAUGGUACAGAAUCAACAGUUUGGGAAGCUUAAUACCUAUUUGCCAAGAGAAAAAGUCAGAAUUCUCUUUUCAGGUCUACAUUCUUUUAACUUGUCUCAUCUUUUUAUGUACCCUAGUAGUUUCAGAGAUACACUUGAAGAUAGAGCAAUUUCUGUUUUCAUCACUUUUAACAACAAUGGGUCUUUUUAUCAUUGUCAAUGAAUCAAUAUUCAGCCAGUGCUCCUGAGGAGAUGAAAAAUUCCACCGGCAAUUAUCUUACAGAGUCACCAUGAUUACUAGGUUAUAUGGUUUGGCUGUGUCCCCACCCAAAUCUCAUCUUGAAUUCCCAUGUGUUGCGGGAGGGACCCAGUGGGAGGUAACUGAAUCAUGGAGACAAGUCUUUCUUGUGCUGUUCUUAUGAUAGUGAAUAAGUCUCAUGAGAUCUUAUGGUUUUAUAAAGAAGAGUCCCCCUGCACAAGCUCUCUCUCUCUUUGCCUGCUGCCAUCUAUUUAAGAUGUGGCUUGCUCUUCCUUGCCUUCCGCCGUGAUUGUGAGGCUUCCCCAGCCAUGUGGAACUGUAAGUCCAAUUAAACCUCUUCUUUUGUAAAUUGCCCAGUCUUGGGUAUGUCUUUUAUCAGCAGCAUGAAAAUGGACUAAUACAGUAAAUUGGUACUAGGAAUGGGGUGCUGCUGAAAGAUACCCAAAAACGUGGAAGUGACUUUGGAACUGGUUAACAGGCAAAGGUUGGAAUAGGUUGGAGAGCUCAGAAGAUGACAGGAAAAUGUGGGAAAGUUUGGAACUCCUUAGAGAUUUGUUGAAUGCCUUUGACCAAAAUGCUGAUAAUGAUAUGGACAAUGAAAUCCAGGCUGAGGUGGUCUCAAAUGGAGAUGAGGAACUUGUUGGGAACUGAGCAAAGGUGAGUCUUGUUAUGUUUUAGCAAAGAGACUGGUGGCAUUUUGCCCCUGCCCUAGAGAUUUGUGGAACUUUGAACUUGAGAGAUAUGAUUUAGGGUAUCUGGCAGAAGAAAUGUUUAAGCAGCAAAGCAUUCAAAAUGUGAUUUGGGUGCUGUUAAAGGCAUUCAGUUUUAUAAGGGAAGGAGAGCAUAAAAGUUUGGAAAAUUUGCAGCCUGACCAUGGAAUAGAAAAGAAAAUCCCAUUUUCUGAGGAAAAAUUCAAGUGGGCUGCAGAAAUUUGUGUAAGUAAUGGGGAGCCAGAUGUUAAUCACCAAGACAAUGAGGAAAAUGUCUCUGGGGAAUGUCAGAGACCUUUGCAGCAGUCCUUCCCAUCACAGACCCAGAGGUUUACAAGGAAAAAAUGGUUUCAUGAGCUGGGCUCAGGGUCCCUCUGCUAUGUACAGUCUAGGGACUUGGUGCCUUGCUUCACAGCUGCUCCAGCUGUGACUAAAAGGGGCCAAGGUACAGCUCAGGCUGUUGCUUCAGAGGGUGCAAGCAUCAAGCCUUGGCAGCUUCCACAUGGUGUUGAGCCUGAGGGUGCACAGAAGUCAAGAAUUGAGGUUUAGGAACCUCCGCUAGAUUUCAGAUGUAUGGAAAUGCCUGGAUGCCCAGGCAGAAGUUUGCGCAGGGUUGGGGCCCUCAUGGAGAACCUCUGCUAGGGCAGUGCAGAAGGGAAAUGUGGGGUCAGAGCCCCCACACAGAGUCCCUAUUGCAGCACCACCUAGUGGAGCUGUGAGAAGAGGGCCACCAUCCUCCAGACCCCAGAAUGGUAGAUCUACUGAGAGCUUGCACCAUGCACCUAGAAAAGCCACAGACACUCAAUGCCAGCCUGUGAAGGCAGCUGAGAGGGAGGCUGUACCCUGCAAAGCCACAGGGGCAGACCUGCUCAAUAUGAUGGGAACCCAGCUCUUGCAUCAGCAUGACCUGGAUGAGAGACAUGGAGUCAGAGGAGAUCAUUUUGGAGCUUUAAGAUUUGACUGCUGGGCCAGGUGCAGUGGCUCACGCCUGUAAUCCCAGCACUUUGGGAGGCCAAGGUGGGAAGAUCACGAGGUUGGGAGACCAAGACCACCCUGGCUAACAUGGUGAAACCCUGCCUCUACUAAAAAAAUGCAAAAAAUUAGCCGGGCAUGAUGGCGG